rnacentral:rRNA from 1 species
GACGACGACGUUGAUAGGCCGGGGGUGUAAGCGCAGCGAUGCGUUGAGCUAACCGGUAAUAAUGAACCGUGAGGCUUAACCUUACAACGCCGAAGGUGUUU